CGCCUCUUGAUAAAAUAUAAGAGGUCCAGCCUGCCCAGUGACUCUGUUCAACGGCCGCGGUAUCCUAACCGUGCGAAGGUAGCGUAAUCACUUGUUCUUUAAAUGGGGACUAGUAUGAAUGGCAUCACGAAGGUUAUACUGUCUCCUCUUUCCAAUCAGUGAAACUAAUCUCCCCGUGAAGAAGCGAGGAUAGACCUAUAAGACGAGAAGACCCUAUGGAGCUUUAAACCAAGUAACACUUGCAUCAAUUCAGCAUAAAUUUCAGAAAAACCUCACUCACCCAUGCAAGAUUAUUACUAGUUUUAGGUUGGGGUGACCGCGGAGCAAAAGACAACCUCCACAUUGAAAGGAGCCCACUCCUCAGCCAAGAGUUACACCUCUACGCACCAUUAUAAUGACAUUAAUUGACCCAAUAUUUUGAUCAACGAACCAAGUUACCCUAGGGAUAACAGCGCAAUCCACUUCAAGAGCUCCUAUCGACAAGUGGGUUUACGACCUCGAUGUUGGAUCAGGGUAUCCCGGUGGUGUAGCCGCUACUAAUGGUUCGUUUGUUCAACGAUUAAAACCCU
rnacentral:rRNA from 1 species